rnacentral:lncRNA from 1 species
GGUAGAGUGUACGCAGUCCAUACCACUACCUCUAAAGAAAUAGAGAGGUUGUUUCCGAUAGACCCCCGGCUCAAGACAAAGGACAGUAUAUAUAGAAAAAAAAUGCAUGGAACAUGAUAAAAUAACAUAGUCAUAACAUCCACCAAAAAUAUUGAACACUGCCAAACAAGGACACCAAAGCCCUCCUACCUACUGCCUACGACUCAACCACACACCUUAGUCCUCUAUCCUAAUGUUUUUCCUCCAUACCUUCCUAUCCUGGGUCAUGUCCUCGGUCAGCUGUAACUGCUCCAUGUCACGUUUAAUCACUUUCCUUUAGUAUUUCUUUGGUCUACCCCUAUCCCGCUUGAAACCGUCCAAGGCCAACCUCUCACACCACUACGAAAUGAGGAUGUUGCGUUGGAUGUGUGAUUUUAUUAUAUAACAAAAUAAUUAUUAUAGUAUAAAAAACAAUAUACCUUGUACACGAUAGCGGAUGAAUAUACAUACCUUGCAUUUCAUUCCUGAAAACUCUACGAUAGCGGAUGAAUACACAUACCUUGCAUUUCAUUCUUGAAAACUCGAGUAAAAUAUGAUGCUAAACAUUAGAAUUAUUUAUUGAAAAAAUAAGUUAAAUUAGUGGGCGAACUCCUAAAAAUGUAAUUUCUUUUUUGUAAUAUUCUCCUGUUAGUUUUGAAAAAUUUUAUUUUUAUUGUUAUAUAUUUUAAGAGAAACGUUUGCAAUGAGCUUCCAAAGGUUAACCGAAUAAAAAGGCAUAUUUUCUAAUAAUAAUCAAUGCAUUGUUUGCGGAAAUCGGAAAGUUUAAGCUACGUGAUGGAAUCUACGGGCAUAAUAACACAAUCCAACAAUCAAAUAAAGCUAUUCUCAACAAAAUAGACAACAAAAGUUAGUCAUUAUAAAAGAACUCGAUAUGAUAAAAAGAUGAAUUAAAUCUAAAGACAAUGAAAAAUAUUAGGCUCCAUUUGGAAGUUGAGGCUCCUAAUUUGCGGGACAUCCAAGGCUCUACACUUCUAUUAGCGUUUAACUCGAUGUUAGGUCAAAGUGAGUUCCAUUGUGGAACUCCAACUCCCGGGUUCACAUGCAAAAUAAAGGAAGAUAAAGAUUAGUAAUCGAACUUAAGUGAAAUAGAUAAGUAACGGAAAAUAAUGUGCAAUAUGCGACCAAAUAAUUCACACUUCCAACAUGGUGAUUAGGCGAGACGUAAAUGCACUAAACGUUCACUUGAUAAAUUGUUACCCAAAUGGAGUUUAAAUGUUUUAGCAAGCUGAAAUUUCUCUUUUAAGAAAAGAACCGCAGGAAAACAAUUCCACCAUUAUCUGAACUAUUUAACAAAUGGUUAUUUAACAAUUCCAAGCAGAAAUUUUUUAAAGAAUGGGAACAUGAUAAUGUAAAAUAACUCACACCAAAGCUUAAUUGACGGUCCCGGAAGACAAACUCACAGAAACUCAUUAAUGGAAAAUUUUGGCUUAGAAAUAUGUAUGAUACAACAUUUAUGUGUUAUCCGUCGAAUAGAGAUGGGAACACAUUAGUCUUGUAUUAAUGGAUUCGAAAGUGAGGUGAUUCAAUUAAUUUUUAAAGCUUGUAAAUUCACGUCAUGGAUGACUCAAUCAUCACUUACUGCUAAAAAAUCGAACAAAGGAUCUGUUAAGCAAUUUUAGGAUUAAACGUAGGAUUCGAGCCCCAAAAUCAAAAGCGAUAAUUGCAACAAUGAUCCAACAACAAAAUGAGUCGGAACAAAAAACCCCAAAUAAAGACUGAGUAACGUACACGCCAAUAUCAAAGGGAAAUAAAGUAAUGAAGGAGCUAUUUUCAUUUGAUAAUGAAGAAGUUGAAUUUUAAUGCUAACAUUGCUUCUUUUUCACUCGAUAAUACUUCAUAAACGACCCCAAACCAUAUUCACAUAAAAUAGGCAGCCAUGAAACUUAAAACAAGAUCAUGUUAAAACAAGAUCAUGUGUUGGACUCAAUUUUACGAAAAAAAAACGGACAACAAUUCCACAACUAAAAUUGAGACAAAGUCAUGCCAUAUUUUUUCAUACCCACGGACAUUAUAUACAUACAAAUAGAAUCUCAAAAAUAGGACCAAAUUCUUGUUCGCAGAACCAGACACAGCAACAACAACAUUACUUCAAGAUCAGUGUUAAUCCCAUAUUCAUAGAACCAGAGUAGAUGUGGGAAAAGAAGGCGAAAAUAAAACAAAAGGGGCGGGUUCGCACCUUGUUCGGUGCAGCUAAACUGGGCGUGGACGUCAAAGUACUUUCCGGCAAUUACGAACUCAACUAAAACUCCGAACUUGGACCAAAAACAAAACAGGAAGAGAAAAAAAUAAAUUUUCCGGCGAAUUUUCUUUCCUCCCUCCACUCGAAUCUCUCUUCUUUUUCUUUUACAGAUCUGAAUUAUUUUCCUCGGCAAUUUUUCUUUUUCGAAUUCUUUGUUUUUCGCCUCUUUCCGAAUUUCUAGAAUUUUCUGCCUGUUUUUCUCCCCCAUUUAGUGGGACACAAAUCUGGCUAUUUAUAGCCCAAAAUCCGGACUUCAAAGUCCGGAUUUGAAACAAGUUUUUAAAAGAAAACGAGGGGGAGCUUCAAAAUUUGAAUCUCCAAUUUCUGAAAAACAAACAACUUCUGGGAAGCCAUUAAUGGCGGAUCCGAACCCAUUCAAUAUUUUAGCACCAUUUUAGCGUCUGUUGCUCUAUUUUCGUUGGAAUCACGGGUUGAAACGACCAAAAAUGGGGAAUCCUCGGCAGCACGCGGCAGUCUAUGGAACCUUUGGGGUCUCUAGUUUGGGGUGGGAGAAGAGGAGGAAGGAGAAAGGGGAGUGAAGGAGGGGUUGGUUUUUUGUGAGUUGAAAUCAAAAUAUGUCAUUAAACUAAAAAUAUAUAAAAAUAU